AUUUAUUAUUCGUAUUCGUAAUUAUUCGUAUUCGUAAUUAUUCGUUUCUAUUCGAAUUAUUCGAAUCGAAUAUUCGAUUUUUUUUUUGAAUAGGCCUAGCGCGUAUCGUGCCGCAUGAUAUACUUUUUUUUGUGUUUUGAUGUUUUGUCGCGUGACUUUUUGCUAAAUUUUGCUUAAGCUUAAAAUUUGUAUGCUCAAUUUAAAAAGCUGAUUGCUCAAUAAUAUAUACUUUAUAUAUAAAUAUUACCUUAUCUUUUACAUUUUAGAAAAUAUGAUAGUUAUAAUACUACUAUGUAUUACAAAUGCACCAAGCCAUAAUGUGUGGGUAAAGGGAUAUUUAAAAACAAUAUCUUUCUUAUAUCCAAACAAUGCACUGCUCUUGCCUGCUUAUAAAGUUUAUCUAAAAUAUUUUCUCCAGCAUCAUUUGAGACCAUAACCAACCCAGAAUGAUAUAAUCCAUUCAGGAACUCCAACUAAUCAAGCAUCACUUAAUAUAAUCCAUUCAGGAACUCCAACCAACCAAACAUCACUUGAUAUAAUCCAUUCAGCAACUCCAACUAAUCAAGCAUCACUUGAUAUAAUCCAUUCAGGAACUCCAACCAACCAAACAUCACUUGAUACAAUCCAAUCAGGAACUCCAACCGACCAAAGAAAAUUUAAAAUAUGCUAUCUCGUUAACCUGGAAAUUUUAAUCUUAGCAUCAUUUAUAAUCCAUUUAGGAACUCCAACCAAUCAAGGUUUUUACCUUCAAUUCAUCACAUCACACUUUAUCAAUAUUAUGAUCAUGCUGUCAAAAUUUUCAUUUUUUAAUGCUUUUUAUAUCAAAUUUACACCAUUUUAUAUAAUAUUGAUAUGCAAAAAGUAAUUACCCUAAUUUUAUAUAUUAGUAUUGAAAUACAAAUUGCAAUCAUUAUUUUAUAUACCACCUAUUGAUAUACAAAUUUAAUCAUCAUUUUAUAUACAAUUAAUAUUCAAUUGCAAUAUAUACAAAUUUUUAUACACUACCA